rnacentral:tRNA from 1 species
GCCUGGGUGGCUUAGUCGGUUAAGCGUCUGACUUCGGCUCCGGUCAUGAUCUCGCGGUUCGUGGGUUCGAGCCCCGUCUUGGGCU